rnacentral:lncRNA from 1 species
GCCCCCUCCCCAAAUAUCGGGGGGUGGGGUCCCCGUGUGCCUUCAGCGCAGGGUGGGGACAGCGGUGGGGGCUUGGGGACACCCCCCACUGCCCGGGCAGCGCUUGGGGACCCCUCCCCAGGGUUUGGGGGCUCCUGGGGACCCCUCCCCAGGGUUUGGGGGCUGCUUGGGGACCCCUCCCCAGGUUUUGGGGGCUCCUGGGGAUGUCUCCCGGUGUUUGGGGACCCCUCCCCAGUGCCCAGGACCCCCUUGGGGACCCCCCCAUGCCCCCCAGGGGGGUCUCAGCACAGCUCAGGGGCCCAGAGCAGGGUGGGGGGCACUUUGGGGUGUCCCCCAGUCACUUUGGGGUGUCCCCCCGGGCACUUUGGGGUGUCUCCCCGGCAUUUUGGGGUGUCCCCCAUCACUUUGGGGUGUCCCCUCAGGUCACUUUGGGGUGUCCCCGGUCACUUUGGGGUGUCCCCCCAUCACUUUGGGGUGUCCCCCCGGCUCUUUGGGGUGUCCCCGGUCGUUUUGGGGUGUCCCCCGGGCAUUUUGGGGUGUCCCCCCGAGCCCAAAGCUUUCCUAUCAUUUUCUAAUUAAAGCCUUUGCCAUUCCAGCCUCGCCGCUCCUUUGGGUUUUGGGGGGUCCGGCAGAAGCUCAUUUAUUGUGGAGCCCCAGCGCGGGGUCUGGGGGUCCCGGGGGGUCCCGGGGGUGUCCCAGGGGGUCCCGGGGGUCCCGGGGGUCACCAGCAGAGCUGCCCCGGGCAGUAUUUAUCGAUGAGGCCCUGGUAGUAACCUCGGAGUUGCUGCACAUCGGGCAGCUCCUCCUGCUUGGUGUACAGGUCAAACUUGCUGCGGGGACAAACAGGGGGGGGUCAGGGCACCCCAAAACCU